UGGCUCCAGAAACUCAUGGCGAAUCUCCAAAGAGUCUUCAUUGUGGGCUGUUAGAAGCAAAAGCCCACAGAAGCUGGGAAGGGGCAAUAGAACUGGUGAAAAAAGGCCCUGGAAGAUCUGGAUGGAGGACUGAGGGCAUAGAUUAUAGGUGCAAAAAUACGCUGGAACCAUAUGUGAUAAAUUCAUGACUUUCAUUGAGAGACCAGCAGCAGUUUGCCUUCUGGUACGGGUCCACAAAACUUGCUGUUUGAGCAGUGCUGAGCCAGAGCAUUCUGGGAAGGAGAUGGGGUUGGCAGUGUCAAAUGCUGCCAAGGCGAUGAGGAGACUGAAUUCUGCCAACAACCACAUGAGCUUGGAAGAGGAUCCCAAACCCCAGAUAGGAAGGCAAUCUGGCCGACACCCCUGACUGCAGCCUUACAAGAUUCAGCAGAGGACCUAGCCAAGCUGUGCUCUAGCUCCUGACCCACAGGAAUGGUAAAAUUGUACAUGAUGGCGAGGCACUAAGUGCGUGGAAAAUUCGUCUAAAUGGCCAAGCAAUAUAUCCCAUCCCACACUCUCCCCUACAACCGUGACUUUAACAUGUCUCCCAUCAAUAGGCGGAGUCUAAUUCCCCUUACCUUGAGUCCAGAUGGGUUUGUGACUACUUUGACGACAGAGGACCAUGGAAGUGACAUUGAUUUUCAAGACUGGGUAAUAAAGGGCGAUGCAGCAUUCACCUUGUCACUGGAUCACUUGCUCUUGGAGCCCUGAGCUGCCAUGUAAGAUGUCUGACUGUGCUGAGGCCGCCAUGUUGUGAGGAAGCCUAGGCUCUACACGUGUGAGAGAACGAAGUUUCCAGCGACCCCAGCCUCCAGCCAUUGACUCACUCCCAGCCCUCUAGUCUUUCCAACUGAGGUUCUAGAUAUCAAGGAGCAGAGACAAGCUAUCCCCACUGUGCCGUAACCAAAUUCGUCACCCACUGAAUCCAUGAAGGAGUAGCCAGCCACCACGUCCUAAGGCAACCCUGCAAAGAGGCCCAUGUGCGUGAGCCGGAGGCAUAUCUUCUGAGGCCUGCCAGCAGCCAGGCCAGUGGGCCUGGGAGCAGGUCCUCCACCAGUCGAGCCUUGAGAUGGGACUGGAACCCUAGCGAUACUUUGAUUGCAGCCUUGUGAGGGACGCUGAGCCAGAGGACCCAGCUAAGCCACAUGCAGAUUCCUGACCGUCAGAGACUGUGAGGAAAAUUCAGUGGUCCUUUCCCGGCUUCCUCUCCUUGCAUGGACCUUAAUGUCACUUCCUCAGGGAAGCCCUCCCCGAGACCCCAGAUAAG